GUAAGGACAGGCACCUGGGGACAGGGAGUGGGGCUGACAGGAAGAGGUGCCUCCCAGAGGCAGGAGCAAUGGCGACGGCAGCAGCAGCAGCAGCAGCAGCAGCAGCAGCAGCAGCAGCAGCAGCAGCUUUGAGGAGAGACUGAGACUUGGCAAGGGAAAAGCUUGGUAACACACUGUAACAGCACCAGUCUCCUGCGGUGUGCUUACCUCACCCAGUCAGCCUGGAAGUCCUGAAAGAGUGAUGACUCUCUCCUCAGCGCUGGAGACUUGUCUCCAGGCCUGUGUGGGACAGUGGACCAUGCCAGGAAACUUGGGCUGAAAGCACAGAAUACGUGAUCAUCCUAAACCUUCACCCUCACUUUUGCCUCCAUUAUUUCGGGACUACAUACACAGCUGAACCCAGCUAGAUAGAAGGACCAUGUGCAGGUGAGCGGCGAAGGUCCCUCCCCCUUCACAGCUCCGUCUCAAUGUCAAGACACAGAUGUGACCACCUCUGUUGUCCAGAUCACUUCUGUUUCCCGAUGUCACCCCAGCCUUAGCCCAAGGUCUCUCCAGCUACAUGAAUGUUAGCUCCAUGUUCCACCAUGGUGGGCCUGGAGGAGGAGGCCCAUCAUUUCCUAAUAUCGAACAGGCAUCAUGGAUCCAGGUCCUCAUCUCCAGGCCUUUCCCACGCCUGUCUCCCAAAGCUGCAAGGCCAACGGGCAGAAGGG
rnacentral:lncRNA from 1 species